ensembl:snRNA U6 U6 spliceosomal RNA
GUGCUCGCUGCGGCAGCCCGUAUGCUAAAACUGGAAUGAUGCAGAGAUUAGCAUGGCCCCCUACACAAGGAUGACACACAAAUUCGUGAAGCAUUCCAUAUUUUU